UCGGGAUAGCUCANUUGGUAGAGCAAAGGACUGAAAAUCCUC
rnacentral:tRNA from 1 species